AUCCAGCUGACGAGUCCCAAAUAGGACGAAACGCGGUCCCGGAU
rnacentral:hammerhead_ribozyme from 1 species